rnacentral:rRNA from 1 species
UACAGAGGGUGCGAGCGUUGUUCGGAUUUAUUGGGCGUAAAGGGUGCGUAGGCGGCGGGGUAAGUUAGAUGUGAAAUUCUCGGGCUUAACCCAAGAACUGCAUUUGAUACUGCUCCGCUAGAGUACUAGCGAAGGAACUGGAAUUUACGGUGUAGCAGUGAAAUGCGUAGAUAUCGUAAGGAAGACCAGUGGCGAAAGCGAGUUCCUAGUGAGUUACUGACGCUGAGGCACGAAAGCGUGGGGAGCAAACAGG